rnacentral:rRNA from 1 species
CGAAGGGCGUAGCGUUGUUCGGAAUUACUGGGCGUAAAGCGCACGUAGGCGGAUAUUAAGUCAGGGGUGAAAUCCCGCAGCUCAACUGCGGAACUGCCUUUGAUACUGGGUAUCUUGAGUAUGGAAGAGGUUAGUGGAAUUGCGAGUGUAGAGGUGAAAUUCGUAGAUAUUCGCAGGAACACCAGUGGCGAAGGCGGCUAACUGGGUCCAUAACUGACGCUGAGGUGCGAAAGCGUGGGGAGCAAACAGGAUU